GACGAACGCUGGCGGCGUGCUUAACACAUGCAAGUCGAACGGAAAGGCCCUGCUUUUGUGGGGUGCUCGAGUGGCGAACGGGUGAGUAACACGUGAGUAACCUGCCCUUGACUUUGGGAUAACUUCAGGAAACUGGGGCUAAUACCGGAUAGGAGCUCCUGCUGCCUGGUGGGGGUUGGAAAGUUUCGGCGGUUGGGGAUGGACUCGCGGCUUAUCAGCUUGUUGGUGGGGUAGUGGCUUACCAAGGCUUUGACGGGUAGCCGGCCUGGGAGGGUGACCGGCCACAUUGGGACUGGGAUACGGCCCAGACGCCUACGGGAGGCAGCAGUGGGGAAUAGUGCACAAUGGGCGGAAGCCUGAUGCAGCAACGCCGGGUGCGGGAUGACGGCCUGCGGGUUGGAAACCGCUUUCGCCUGUGACGAAGCGUGAGUGACGGUAAUGGGUAAAGAAGCACCGGCUAACUACGU
rnacentral:rRNA from 1 species